rnacentral:rRNA from 1 species
GAUGAACGCUGGCGGCGUGCCUAAUACAUGCAAGUCGAGCGAACAGACGAGGAGCUUGCUCCUCUGAUGUUAGCGGCGGACGGGUGAGUAACACGUGGAUAACCUACCUAUAAGACUGGGAUAACUUCGGGAAACCGGAGCUAAUACCGGAUAAUAUUUUGAACCGCAUGGUUCAAUAGUGAAAGACGGUUUUGCUGUCACUUAUAGAUGGAUCCGCGCCGCAUUAGCUAGUUGGUAAGGUAACGGCUUACCAAGGCAACGAUGCAUAGCCGACCUGAGAGGGUGAUCGGCCACACUGGAACUGAGACACGGUCCAGACUCCUACGGGAGGCAGCAGUAGGGAAUCUUCCGCAAUGGGCGAAAGCCUGACGGAGCAACGCCGCGUGAGUGAUGAAGGUCUUCGGAUCGUAAAACUCUGUUAUUAGGGAAGAACAAAUGUGUAAGUAACUGUGCACGUCUUGACGGUACCUAAUCAGAAAGCCACGGCUAACUACGUG